rnacentral:rRNA from 1 species
GUUAAACGGCCGCGGUAUUCUGACCGUGCUAAGGUAGCGUAAUCACUUGUCUUUUAAAUGAAGACCCGUAUGAAUGGCAUCACGAGGGCUCAGCUGUCUCCUCUCUUUAGUCAAUGAAAUUGAUCUGCCCGUGCAGAAGCGGACAUGAUAACAUAAGACGAGAAGACCCUAUGGAGCUUAAGACAAAGGGCCAACCAUGUUAAACUACUAGUGAACCGACCGGGUUAAGAAGUAAUCAAGCUCUGUGGCACAUGGCCGGAAUGUCUUCGGUUGGGGCGACCUCGGAGGAAAACCAAGCCUCCGCGUGGAAUGGGGGUAAUGACCUUCCCCUAGAACUAAGAACCACAAAUCUAAGUAGCAAAAAUUUUGGCCAUUAAUGACCCGGAAUAAAUCCGAUCAACGAACCAAGUUACCCUAGGGAUAACAGCGCAAUCCCUUCCCAGAGUCCAUAUCGACGAAGGGGUUUACGACCUCGAUGUUGGAUCAGGACAUCCUAAUGGUGCAGCCGCUAUUAAGGGUUCGUUUGUUCAACGAUUAAAGUCCU